rnacentral:rRNA from 1 species
GAUGAACGCUGGCGGCGUGCUUAACACAUGCAAGUCGAACGAGAAAUGUAGACUGAAACCUUCGGGCGGAAGCCUUCACUUGGAGUGGCCGACGGGUUAAUAUCGCCUGGGUAACCUGCCUCCUUCAGGGAGCUAACAGUAGGACACGACAGGUAAUCCCGCAUCAUACCACAGCAUCGCAUGAUUCGGGGGUUAAAACUCCGGUGGCAUGAGAUGGACCCGCGUUCGAUUUGGUGGUGGGCGGGGUAACUGACCACCAAAGCGACGGUCGAGAGCAGAUGGGAGAGGAUGACCGGCCACAUUGGGACUGAGACACGGCCCAAACUCCUACGGGAGGCAGCAGUGGGGAAUAUUGCACAAGGGGGGAAACCCUGAUGCAGCGACGCCGCGUGAGUGAAGAAGUACUUCAGUAUGUAAAGCUCUAUCAGCAGGGAAGAAAAUGACGGUACCUGAGUAAGAAGCCCCGGCUAACUACGUG